CUUGAUCUAUAUAAUCAAAAGUUAAAAUAUUAUCUUGAUUGUGAUCAAGCAUGGGUUUUUAGUUUGGUUCAAGUCAGAUCAAUGGUUGAACCCAAUUGAACAUCCAAAUCCUAGUAUGUCUUAGAGAUAUGUUUUAGUUAAAUACAUAAUGUAUAUAUAGAGUUUUUUUUAGUAGCCUAGUACUUGAAUUGGGAUUCAUCACCAGGCC
rnacentral:lncRNA from 1 species